AUUGAACGCUGGCGGCAGGCUUAACACAUGCAAGUCGGACGGUAACAGGGAGGAAGCUUGCUUUCUUUGCUGACGAGUGGCGGACGGGUGAGUAAUGCUUGGGAAUCUGUUUUAUGGAGGGGGAUAACUACGGGAAACUGUAGCUAAUACCGCGUAAUAUCGAGAGAUUAAAGUGUGGGACCGUAAGGCCACAUGCCAUAGAGUGAGCCCAAGUGGGAUUAGGUAGUUGGUGGGGUAAAGGCCUACCAAGCCGUCGAUCUCUAGCUGGUCUGAGAGGAUGACCAGCCACACUGGGACUGAGACACGGCCCAGACUCCUACGGGAGGCAGCAGUGGGGAAUAUUGCACAAUGGGCGCAAGCCUGAUGCAGCCAUGCCGCGUGAAUGAAGAAGGCCUUCGGGUUGUAAAGUUCUUUCGGUGGUGAGGAAGGUUGUAAUGCUAAUAGCAUUAUAAUUUGACGUUAGCCACAGAAGAAGCACCGGCUAACUCCGUGCCAGCAGCCGCGGUAAUACGGAGGGUGCGAGCGUUAAUCGGAAUAACUGGGCGUAAAGGGCACGCAGGCGGAUACUUAAGUGAGGUGUGAAAGCCCUGGGCUUAACCUAGGAAUUGCAUUUCAUACUGGGUAUCUAGAGUAUUUUAGGGAGGGGUAGAAUUCCACGUGUAGCGGUGAAAUGCGUAGAGAUGUGGAGGAAUACCGAAGGCGAAGGCAGCCCCUUGGGGGAAUACUGACGCUCAUGUGCGAAAGCGUGGGGAGCAAACAGG
rnacentral:rRNA from 1 species